CGCCAAGGUGAUUCCCUCUCUAAGGGGCCUAAUGGUGCCUCCCCUUCAGGAAAGUAGAAAUUAGAAGAAAAUAAGGUUUUCAGGGGAGAAGGUGAUAUGUAAUUUCCUGUGCUUUCCUUUGGCAGCCUACAUGU